GAUGAAGAACGCAGCGAAAUGCGAUAAGUAGUGUGAAUUGCAGAAUUCAGUGAAUCAUCGAAUCUUUGAACGCACAUUGCGCCCCUUGGUAUUCCAUGGGGCAUGCCUGUUCGAGCGUCAUUUGUACCUUCAAGCUUUGCUUGGUGUUGGGGCCUGCUGCACUGGCAGCCCUUAAAAUCAGUGGCGGCGCCAUCUGGCUCUAAGCGUAGUAAUUCUUCUCGCUAUGGAGUCCUGGUGGAUGCUUGCCAUCAACCCCCAAUUUUUCUAUGGUUGACCUCGGAUCAGGUAGGGAUACCCGCUGAACUUAAGCAUAUCAAUAAGCGGAGGA
rnacentral:misc_RNA from 1 species